rnacentral:rRNA from 1 species
GCAAGUCGAGCGCGAACGGUUCUUCGGAGCUUAUUAGAGCGGCGGACGGGUGAGUAACGCGUGGGAAUUUGCCCAGUAGUGGGGGACAACCAGUGGAAACGCUGGCUAAUACCGCAUACGUCCUAUGGGAGAAAGGUGGCCUCUAUUUAUAAGCUAUCGCUAUUGGAGAAGCCCGCGUCAGAUUAGCUAGUAGGUGAGGUAAAGGCUCACCUAGGCGACGAUCUGUAGCUGGUCUGAGAGGACGAAC